ACGCUCACUUUGGCAGCACAUAUACUAAAACUGGAACGAUACAGAGAAGAUUAGCAUGGCCUCUGUGCAAGGAUGACUUGCCAAUUUGUGAAGCGUUCCAUAUUUGU
rnacentral:snRNA from 1 species